AUGAAUGGCUGUGCAGCAUUGCCCAUUGCAGACUGCUGGAAGGCUCCAGGAGGGACUCGGCUCCCACUGUGUGAUGGCUGUGUGAGUGGCAUACUUUGCUGAAGUGCGUCCAGAUCCUUUUUUGGGAAGCUGGGAGGCGUCUCCUUGCUGUGAGAGAGAAACAUGGUGCAAUCUUUUCAUCGCUCGGUUUUAGUGACACAGGUUCAAGCAGAACCAAGGAAACCAUUCCUCCUGUCCAAGAGACAGUCUCGUGGAUCCUCAGUUCCCUUCGCAGCACUUGUUCAACCUUUAACCUUUUAAGGACCAUAUCUGGCAACUGAACAGGGAUUACCUGAGCAGAGGAGCUAGUAACUACUAUAACUGGCAGAGUGAUGGCAAAAAUCCUGGUGCAGGGAACAAAUGGACGCUGCUGAAAAGAGAAAGAAAAAAAGAUGGAGAAGAAGAAAAGAAAUGAUGCUGGAGCUGGCAAAAGCUUUUCACUCUGAGUUCUGGAGCAGGAGAAACGCUUGCUGGGAAAAAAAGACUGCAACUGGAGGUACGCUGCAGCUCUCCUUUUUUGCUGCUGGAAAGAAGUUAAUAAAUGCAGUCACAAUACAAGCCCCCUUUUGGAGCAUACGACUCUUUGCAAGAAGGAGAGCAGAGAGUACGUGGCUACUCCUCUGCAGCUGUGUUUCCAAGUCAGCUGGUGCUUAUUUUCUAAUUGGGAACCACAACAGCAUAUGGGCUCACCUUUGAUUGAUAAACUCCUUCAUCCUUUGAAUUCUGGAACAGAGAGGGUUCUACUUAUUUUAAAUCCUAAUGAUUUCUGCUGCACCAAGCUCUUUCAUUUUUAUACAGGAAACCCAGAUUAAUUGUUUCAACCAUCUGACUAUCCAUUACAAUCAGAGGAUGCACUUCUUGUUAAAGUUUCAGAAUUGUUGAAUAAAAUACCAUUUUAACAACC
rnacentral:lncRNA from 7 species